AGACGGGGCUGGGAAGAGAGACCGGCAUGGCUGGCUGGCGGCUGCUGCUGGGGAAGAAGGCAAGGAGGGGGAACCGGGCCAGCUCCUUCAGGGUCCUUCAGAGUAUUGCUGCGGUAGCUCAUUGAAAGAGUGCCUGAUCUAGUUGCAUCCCAGUUGGGGGUGUAUGCAACUAAUGCAAUGUCAGCAUCAACUCAUCCUAUGAGUUGUCCCAGUUGCUUAUUUGUGAUAUUGCUAAGUUGUACCGAGAAGCGGUGAAUCCCGGGAGGCGUAGCUAGUACCAUCUCAAGCGUGGUAGUGGAGGAGACCAUGGCGCCUAACUCGAGCAGGCACGGCGCCAUCAUGCCUAGCGCAAGCGCAAGCGCGCCGUUGCCCCUAUCCAAGUAGUUGCAGUUUCCAGUGAAAUCCAGAUCUUCAUAGAGAUCCGGAGGAGGAAUAAGAGAUGAAAGUUUCGUCUUGCAGAACAAGUAUUUGGAGGAGCAAAUUGAUGAUUUCUCCAUCACCUGUAACCUCCUUUUUUGCUGGCCGGAUGUUGAAUCAGCCAAACCAGCACCCGGAUGCUAGGAUGAAGAAACCAGCACUUGGAUGCUGGGAUGAACAAACCAGCACCGGAUGCUGGCUAGCCGCCUC